rnacentral:rRNA from 1 species
UCUUCCCUCUUUCUUCGUGCUUAACACAUGCAAGUCGAACGAGAAAUGUAGACGGAAACCUUCGGGCGGAAGCCUUCAUUUCGAGUGGCGGACGGGUGAGUAACGCGUGGGUAACCUGCCUCAUACAGGGGGAUAACAGUUGGAAACGACUGUUAAUACCGCAUAAGACCACAGCAUCGCAUGAUGCGGGGGUAAAAACUCCGGUGGUAUGAGAUGGACCCGCGUUCGAUUAGCCAGUUGGCGGGGUAACGGCCCACCAAAGCGACGAUCGAUAGCCGAUCUGAGAGGAUGACCGGCCACAUUGGGACUGAGACACGGCCCAAACUCCUACGGGAGGCAGCAGUGGGGAAUAUUGCAAAAUGGGGGAAACCCUGAUGCAGCGACGCCGCGUGAGUGAAGAAGUACUUCGGUAUGUAAAGCUCUAUAAGCAGGGAAGAAAAUGACGGUACCUGAGUAAGAAGCCCCGGCUAACUACGUG